ensembl:lncRNA
GAACCACUGGCUUAAAGGAAUGGUUCAAAAUUUGCUGAAUAUUAACCCCAAGAUGUAGAUGAGUUUUUUUUCUUCAUCCAAUUUGGAGAAAGGUGUUUCAGACAUCUACAUAUAAUGCCUGCUCCCUUUCCCAACCCUGUUCCUGGAGGAAAACCAACCACUACACAAUUCUGAAAUCUUCCUACUCAAACACACCUAUUCAACUCAUCAGCUCGUUAGUAAAGACUACAUGACCUGAAAUGGUUGUCAGAUAACAGAGACUCCAAAUUUGUACUGUAGUUUUAUUAUUAUUAUUUUUUUGGUAAUGUGGAUUUGAUGCUUUCAUUUGCUAUAAUAAUGUAAUUUCUUCAUUUCAAACAAUUUCAUUUGGGAAAAAAAAACAGUAUAAGCG